rnacentral:rRNA from 1 species
GACGAACGCUGGCGGCGUGCUUAACACAUGCAAGUCGAACGAUGAUGCCCAGCUUGCUGGGCGGAUUAGUGGCGAACGGGUGAGUAACACGUGAGUAACCUGCCCUUGACUUCGGGAUAACUCCGGGAAACCGGGGCUAAUACCGGAUAUGAGCCGUCCUCGCAUGGGGGUGGUUGGAAAGUUUUUCGGUCAGGGAUGGGCUCGCGGCCUAUCAGCUUGUUGGUGGGGUGAUGGCCUACCAAGGCGACGACGGGUAGCCGGCCUGAGAGGGCGACCGGCCACACUGGGACUGAGACACGGCCCAGACUCCUACGGGAGGCAGCAGUGGGGAAUAUUGCACAAUGGGCGAAAGCCUGAUGCAGCGACGCCGCGUGAGGGAUGAAGGCCUUCGGGUUGUAAACCUCUUUCAGCAGGGAAGAAGCGCAAGUGACGGUACCUGCAGAAGAAGCGCCGGCUAACUACGUGCCAGCAGCCGCGGUAAUACGUAGGGCGCAAGCGUUGUCCGGAAUUAUUGGGCGUAAAGAGCUCGUAGGCGGUUUGUCGCGUCUGGUGUGAAAACUCGAGGCUCAACCUCGAGCUUGCAUCGGGUACGGGCAGACUAGAGUGCGGUAGGGGAGACUGGAAUUCCUGGUGUAGCGGUGGAAUGCGCAGAUAUCAGGAGGAACACCGAUGGCGAAGGCAGGUCUCUGGGCCGCAACUGACGCUGAGGAGCGAAAGCAUGNGGAGCGAACAGG